GUUACUCUGGGAGAUGCUUUCUGGGUAUCACUAAGAAGACUCUCUCUUUGCAAGAUGACUAGGUCCUUAGUUGUAGCCACAGGCUACCUCCUGCUCAGCUCCUGCCUCCACUGAUACAAGCUGCCUGACAGAGUGAGGUGUCUCCAGUCCCUCAUACUGCCAGGAUGGUUUCCUGGAGAUUGAGCCCAGUUUUCUUCCUCCAUGCUCUCAGUCAGCUUGUGGGUCCAAGCUAAACUACUGGACAGGUUCUAGGAAACCAUGUGGCCAGGCGGGAUCUCCUCUCCAGUUGCUGAGAGCAGCCUUGGUUUCAUAAAACUUCUAGACUUGAUGAGCGUUGACAACAUCAUGUGCUACCACGUGGCCCACCCUGUAAGAGAGCCUCUGUUCAUCCUCUUGCCGCGUUGGUUACUUCUCGUCGCUGUGAUAAAGGACCUGAAAAAACGCUUCUUUGAGGGAGGAAGGAUUCUGGCUUGUGGGUCGAGAGGGUACAGUACAUCACGCUGUGAGGCAAGAAGCAACUCAGAAGAGUCACCAAGUCCCUGCCGUCAGCAGCUGCUAGCCUGCCCAGUAUCACCCUGAUCGCUCCCCUCCUCAGUCGCCCAUCUUGCCACACAUCACACAUCACCGAGUCAGAAGUGCCCGACGUGGCCUCACAUUCCUUCCCUUCUGGAUGGUUCCCUACCUCUGUCCCCAACUCUCCAGUAAUUCUGUAUAUUAAAGUCAAGUCUUGAAGAAUCAAAUUCCAUCACCACCAUCUCAAAAUAGCUGCCCCUGAUAAUCAAUAUGCAAAAAUGUCUUUUUCAUUCAAUUUUCACAGCAAACCCAAGAGCCAUAGAUCUGCCAUUUUAUUAAUGAGGAAACUGAGGCACAGGAAGGUUGGGGUCCAGGUCUCCUCACUUGAGUCUGGGUGCGGACAGUGAACAGCGUCCGAACUGUGCACGUGUCUCUCGUGUUGAAAUAGGACAGUCCUGAAGAAAGGGCUGUCUGUGCACGUGGCCAAGAGCACAGGAAAGGAUAGAAAAGGAGCUGGAGAGGGACAGCAAUGGGAAGUCUCCUGGGGAUCAUUUCGGGGGUUGGGUUGGGCACUGACACCCCCAAGGACCCACAUUUUCUUUCCUCCAACACACGUUAAUUGAGGGCCUGCUACAUGUUGACCUAGCUCCAGAUGAAGGAAUCAAAUAGCUUCCACCUGGGAACUUCUAAUAGUCAAGACAAAUUUAAAAUAUGCAUGCUGUGCCUGGGGACAUGCUGUAAUUCCAGCCACUCUGGAAGCUGGGGCUGGACCCCUGGCUCAGUGGUUAAGAGCACCUGUUGCUCUUGCAGAGGACCAGAGUUUGGUUCCCACCACCUACAUGGUGGCUCACAGCUGCCUGUAGGUCCAAUCCCAGGGGAAUGGAGAGCCUCUUCUGAGGGCUCUGUACACAUAUGGUGCAUGUAAACUCAAGCAGACACAUGAACACACAUAAAAAACA